UACAGAGACUGCAAGCGUUAUUCGGAUUCACUGGGCGUAAAGGGUGCGCAGGCGGCCGUGUGUGUGAGGCGUGAAAGCCCGGGGCUUAACCCCGGAAUUGCACCUCAAACUACAUGGCUAGAGCAUUGGAGAGGGUAGCGGAAUUCACGGUGUAGCAGUGAGAUGCGUAGAUAUCGUGAGGAACACCAGAGGCGAAGGCGGCUACCUGGACAAUUGCUGACGCUCAGGCACGAAAGCGUGGGGAGCAAAAGGG
rnacentral:rRNA from 1 species